rnacentral:rRNA from 1 species
AGCGUACACGGUGGAUGCCCUGGCAGUCAGAGGCGAUGAAGGACGUGCUAAUCUGCGAUAAGCGUCGGUAAGGUGAUAUGAACCGUUAUAACCGGCGAUUUCCGAAUGGGGAAACCCAGUGUGAUUCGUCACACUAUCAUUAACUGAAUCCAUAGGUUAAUGAGGCGAACCGGGGGAACUGAAACAUCUAAGUACCCCGAGGAAAAGAAAUCAACCGAGAUUCCCCCAGUAGCGGCGAGCGAACGGGGAGCAGCCCAGAGCCUGAAUCAGUGUGUGUGUUAGUGGAAGCGUCUGGAAAGGCGUGCGAUACAGGGUGACAGCCCCGUACACAAAAAUGCACAUGCUGUGAGCUCGAUGAGUAGGGCGGGACACGUGGUAUCCUGUCUGAAUAUGGGGGGACCAUCCUCCAAGGCUAAAUACUCCUGACUGACCGAUAGUGAACCAGUACCGUGAGGGAAAGGCGAAAAGAACCCCGGCGAGGGGAGUGAAAAAGAACCUGAAACCGUGUACGUACAAGCAGUGGGAGCACAGAGCAAUCUGUGUGACUGCGUACCUUUUGUAUAAUGGGUCAGCGACUUAUAUUCUGUAGCAAGGUUAACCGAAUAGGGGAGCCGAAGGGAAACCGAGUCUUAACUGGGCGUUAAGUUGCAGGGUAUAGACCCGAAACCCGGUGAUCUAGCCAUGGGCAGGUUGAAGGUUGGGUAACACUAACUGGAGGACCGAACCGACUAAUGUUGAAAAAUUAGCGGAUGACUUGUGGCUGGGGGUGAAAGGCCAAUCAAACCGGGAGAUAGCUGGUUCUCCCCGAAAGCUAUUUAGGUAGCGCCUCGUGAAUUCAUCUCCGGGGGUAGAGCACUGUUUCGGCAAGGGGGUCAUCCCGACUUACCAACCCGAUGCAAACUGCGAAUACCGGAGAAUGUUAUCACGGGAGACACACGGCGGGUGCUAACGUCCGUCGUGAAGAGGGAAACAACCCAGACCGCCAGCUAAGGUCCCAAAGUCAUGGUUAAGUGGGAAACGAUGUGGGAAGGCCCAGACAGCCAGGAUGUUGGCUUAGAAGCAGCCAUCAUUUAAAGAAAGCGUAAUAGCUCACUGGUCGAGUCGGCCUGCGCGGAAGAUGUAACGGGGCUAAACCAUGCACCGAAGCUGCGGCAGCGACGCUUAUGCGUUGUUGGGUAGGGGAGCGUUCUGUAAGCCUGCGAAGGUGUGCUGUGAGGCAUGCUGGAGGUAUCAGAAGUGCGAAUGCUGACAUAAGUAACGAUAAAGCGGGUGAAAAGCCCGCUCGCCGGAAGACCAAGGGUUCCUGUCCAACGUUAAUCGGGGCAGGGUGAGUCGACCCCUAAGGCGAGGCCGAAAGGCGUAGUCGAUGGGAAACAGGUUAAUAUUCCUGUACUUGGUGUUACUGCGAAGGGGGGACGGAGAAGGCUAUGUUGGCCGGGCGACGGUUGUCCCGGUUUAAGCGUGUAGGCUGGUUUUCCAGGCAAAUCCGGAAAAUCAAGGCUGAGGCGUGAUGACGAGGCACUACGGUGCUGAAGCAACAAAUGCCCUGCUUCCAGGAAAAGCCUCUAAGCAUCAGGUAACAUCAAAUCGUACCCCAAACCGACACAGGUGGUCAGGUAGAGAAUACCAAGGCGCUUGAGAGAACUCGGGUGAAGGAACUAGGCAAAAUGGUGCCGUAACUUCGGGAGAAGGCACGCUGAUAUGUAGGUGAAGCGACUUGCUCGUGGAGCUGAAAUCAGUCGAAGAUACCAGCUGGCUGCAACUGUUUAUUAAAAACACAGCACUGUGCAAACACGAAAGUGGACGUAUACGGUGUGACGCCUGCCCGGUGCCGGAAGGUUAAUUGAUGGGGUCAGCGCAAGCGAAGCUCUUGAUCGAAGCCCCGGUAAACGGCGGCCGUAACUAUAACGGUCCUAAGGUAGCGAAAUUCCUUGUCGGGUAAGUUCCGACCUGCACGAAUGGCGUAAUGAUGGCCAGGCUGUCUCCACCCGAGACUCAGUGAAAUUGAACUCGCUGUGAAGAUGCAGUGUACCCGCGGCAAGACGGAAAGACCCCGUGAACCUUUACUAUAGCUUGACACUGAACAUUGAGCCUUGAUGUGUAGGAUAGGUGGGAGGCUUUGAAGUGUGGACGCCAGUCUGCAUGGAGCCGACCUUGAAAUACCACCCUUUAAUGUUUGAUGUUCUAACGUUGACCCGUAAUCCGGGUUGCGGACAGUGUCUGGUGGGUAGUUUGACUGGGGCGGUCUCCUCCUAAAGAGUAACGGAGGAGCACGAAGGUUGGCUAAUCCUGGUCGGACAUCAGGAGGUUAGUGCAAUGGCAUAAGCCAGCUUGACUGCGAGCGUGACGGCGCGAGCAGGUGCGAAAGCAGGUCAUAGUGAUCCGGUGGUUCUGAAUGGAAGGGCCAUCGCUCAACGGAUAAAAGGUACUCCGGGGAUAACAGGCUGAUACCGCCCAAGAGUUCAUAUCGACGGCGGUGUUUGGCACCUCGAUGUCGGCUCAUCACAUCCUGGGGCUGAAGUAGGUCCCAAGGGUAUGGCUGUUCGCCAUUUAAAGUGGUACGCGAGCUGGGUUUAGAACGUCGUGAGACAGUUCGGUCCCUAUCUGCCGUGGGCGCUGGAGAACUGAGGGGGGCUGCUCCUAGUACGAGAGGACCGGAGUGGACGCAUCACUGGUGUUCGGGUUGUCAUGCCAAUGGCACUGCCCGGUAGCUAAAUGCGGAAGAGAUAAGUGCUGAAAGCAUCUAAGCACGAAACUUGCCCCGAGAUGAGUUCUCCCUGACUCCUUGA